UGCAAGUCGAGCGGACAGAAGGGAGCUUGCUCCCGGAUGUUAGCGGCGGACGGGUGAGUAACACGUGGGUAACCUGCCUGUAAGACUGGGAUAACUCCGGGAAACCGGAGCUAAUACCGGAUAGUUCCUUGAACCGCAUGGUUCAAGGAUGAAAGACGGUUUCGGCUGUCACUUACAGAUGGACCCGCGGCGCAUUAGCUAGUUGGUGGGGUAAUGGCUCACCAAGGCGACGAUGCGUAGCCGACCUGAGAGGGUGAUCGGCCACACUGGGACUGAGACACGGCCCAGACUCCUACGGGAGGCAGCAGUAGGGAAUCUUCCGCAAUGGACGAAAGUCUGACGGAGCAACGCCGCGUGAGUGAUGAAGGUUUUCGGAUCGUAAAGCUCUGUUGUUAGGGAAGAACAAGUGCGAGAGUAACUGCUCGCACCUUGACGGUACCUAACCAGAAAGCCACGGCUAACUACGUGCCAGCAGCCGCGGUAAUACGUAGGUGGCAAGCGUUGUCCGGAAUUAUUGGGCGUAAAGGGCUCGGAGGCGGUUUCUUAAGUCUGAUGUGAAAGCCCCCGGCUCAACCGGGGAGGGUCAUUGGAAACUGGGAAACUUGAGUGCAGAAAGAGAGGGUGGAAUUCCACGUGUAUCGGUGAAAUGCGUAUAGAUGUGCGAGGAACACCAGUGGCGAAAGCGCCCGCGGAGGGUCAUUGGAAACUGGGAAACUUGAGUGCAGAAGAGGAGAGUGCACUUCCACGUGUAGCGUGAAAUGCGUAGAGAUGUGGAGGAACACCAGUGGCGAGGGCGACUCUCUGGUCUGUAACUGACGCUGAGGAGCGAAAGCGUGGGGAGCGAACAGGAUUAGAUACCCUGGUAGUCCACGCCGUAAACGAUGAGUGCUAAGUGUUAGGGGGUUUCCGCCCCUUAGUGCUGCAGCUAACGCAUUAAGCACUCCGCCUGGGGAGUACGGUCGCAAGACUGAAACUCAAAGGAAUUGACGGGGGCCCGCACAAGCGGUGGAGCAUGUGGUUUAAUUCGAAGCAACGCGAAGAACCUUACCAGGUCUUGACAUCCUCUGACAACCCUAGAGAUAGGGCUUUCCCUUCGGGGACAGAGUGACAGGUGGUGCAUGGUUGUCGUCAGCUCGUGUCGUGAGAUGUUGGGUUAAGUCCCGCAACGAGCGCAACCCUUGAUCUUAGUUGCCAGCAUUCAGUUGGGCACUCUAAGGUGACUGCCGGUGACAAACCGGAGGAAGGUGGGGAUGACGUCAAAUCAUCAUGCCCCUUAUGACCUGGGCUACACACGUGCUACAAUGGACAGAACAAAGGGCUGCAAGACCGCAAGGUUUAGCCAAUCCCAUAAAUCUGUUCUCAGUUCGGAUCGCAGUCUGCAACUCGACUGCGUGAAGCUGGAAUCGCUAGUAAUCGCGGAUCAGCAUGCCGCGGUGAAUACGUUCCCGGGCCUUGUACACACCGCCCGUCACACCACGAGAGUUUGCAACACCCGAAGUCGGUGAGGUAACCUUUAUGGAGCCAGCCGCCGA
rnacentral:rRNA from 1 species